UACAGAGGGUGCGAGCGUUAAUCGGAGUUACUGGGCGUAAAGGGCGCGUAGGUGGUUUGAUAAGUUAGAUGUGAAAGCCCUGGGCUUAACCUAGGAACUGCAUCUAAGACUGUGAGACUAGAGUACUGUAGAGGGUAGUGGAAUUUCCGGUGUAGCGGUGAAAUGCGUAGAGAUCGGAAGGAACACCAGUGGCGAAGGCGGCUACCUGGACAGAUACUGACACUGAGGCGCGAAAGCGUGGGGAGCAAACAGG
rnacentral:rRNA from 1 species